UAGGGAAUCUUCGGCAAUGGACGAAAGUCUGACCGAGCAACGCCGCGUGAGUGAAGAAGGUUUUCGGAUCGUAAAACUCUGUUGUUACAGAAGAACAAGGACGUUAGUAACUGAACGUCCCCUGACGGUAUCUAACCAGAAAGCCACGGCUAACUACGUGCCAGCAGCCGCGGUAAUACGUAGGUGGCAAGCGUUGUCCGGAUUUAUUGGGCGUAAAGCGAGCGCAGGCGGUUUCUUAAGUCUGAUGUGAAAGCCCCCGGCUCAACCGGGGAGGGUCAUUGGAAACUGGGAGACUUGAGUGCAGAAGAGGAGAGUGGAAUUCCAUGUGUAGCGGUGAAAUGCGUAGAUAUAUGGAGGAACACCAGUGGCGAAGGCGGCUCUCUGGUCUGUAACUGACGCUGAGGCUCGAAAGCGUGGGGAGCAAACAGG
rnacentral:rRNA from 1 species